CGCUGGUAGUUUAGUUGCACGACAGCUGUUUACCGUUUGUGUUGUUUUCAUACGGUUAAACUACGCAACUAUAUUGCAACCGUUGCAACUAUACUUCUCGCAAUCGCUUUCGAGUUCCGAUCGCAGUCAUGAACUAAAUUUGAAUGCGAAUUUGAUUCGCUUUGUCGGUCGACUUCCGAUUUAAAAUAAAAUAAAUAAUGCCCUUGUCGAAGUGUUGCAACGCAUAAAAUACUGUAUCUACUUGCAUUUGAUUUACGGUGUUCGAUAGACUGGAAAAACAGCCGCCCGUCGUGUUCUGCUGAAGACAAAAAUGAUUCACACAACUUCAAAAUAUUAUUUACAAUCACAUAACCUGACCGACUGAUGUCCGACGGCAAGCGAUCCCAGAUACACACGAAACUAAUAAACACACAAAAAUAAUGAAUUCCGAAGAUUACGCGAUAAAUUUUUAGCGACUAAAACCCGUCUAUUAACACUAAAUUCCAGCAAAUAUAACGCGAUAUAACGAAUAUACAAGACGAAACACGAAUAUCCAUGUAUCAGUACUUAUCGCACGAAGUAUGAGUUACGUGCCGGCUACACAACAACUGGGCAACUGGGCGACUUUCACUCGUAAGAAUAUUAUUAGCGAAAAAUGCAUUAUUGCGCCAUCUGAGGUUUCUUUUGAGUACCUCAAGAAUAUACAAAGUGUAUCAAAAAGUGUGGCGUGGAUAUGAGGCAGUGAGUGAUUGGCUAUAUGUCAGUGUAUGGUCACGCACUGAAAUGGCAGUGCCAUGUGUCACACGUACACGCAACUGCGCAUGCACCACCCUAUCUAAACGAAUAGCAAUUUUUACACAUAACUCAAAGCUUCAAAUGUAAAUGUCGCUAGAAUGUAUUAAUUCAAAAUAAAUGAACCAAACUUUGCAA